UACAGAGACUGCAAGCGUUAUUCGGAUUCACUGGGCGUAAAGGGUGCGCAGGCGGCCGUGUGUGUCAGGUGUGAAAGCCCGGGGCUUAACCCCGAAAUUGCGCCUGAAACUACAUGGCUAGAGCAUUGGAGAGGGUAGCGGAAUUCACGGUGUAGCAGUGAAAUGCGUAGAUAUCGUGAGGAACACCAGAGGCGAAGGCGGCUACCUGGACAAUUGCUGACGCUCAGGCACGAAAGCGUGGGGAGCAAAAGGG
rnacentral:rRNA from 1 species